ensembl:piRNA 21ur-13454 ncRNA
UAUUUGAGAUUAUUUAUCUUU